CAUUACCGCCCCCCACGGAUUCAGUGCGGGCUCCGCCGUUUGCGGUAUCAAAGCCAGCGGCAAACCCGAUAUCGGCAUUGUCGCCGCAGACAGCCUUUGUACCGCGGCCGCUGUGUUCACGACGAAUCGUUUCUGCGGUGCGCCGGUCGUCGUUGGUCGCGA
rnacentral:misc_RNA from 1 species